GACGAACGCUGGCGGCGUGCUUAACACAUGCAAGUCGAACGAUGAAGCCGGAGCUUGCUCUGGUGAAUUAGUGGCGAACGGGUGAGUAACACGUGAGUAACCUGCCCUUGACUCUGGGAUAACUGCGGGAAACUGUAGCUAAUACCGGAUACGACCCUCGGAGGCAUCUCCUGGGGGUGGAAAGAAUUUCGGUCAAGGAUGGACUCGCGGCCUAUCAGCUAGUUGGUGAGGUAAAGGCUCACCAGGGCGACGACGGGUAGCCGGCCUGGGAGGGUGACCGGCCACACUGGGACUGAGACACGGCCCAGACUCCUACGGGAGGCAGCAGUGGGGAAUAUUGCACAAUGGGCGCAAGCCUGAUGCAGCAACGCCGCGUGAGGGAUGACGGCCUUCGGGUUGUAAACCUCUUUUAGCAGGGAAGAAGCGAAAGUAACGGUACCUGCAGAAAAAGCACCGGCUAACUACGUGCCAGCCGCCGCCGUAA
rnacentral:rRNA from 1 species